rnacentral:rRNA from 1 species
GAUGAACGCUGGCGGCGUGCCUAAUACAUGCAAGUCGAGCGAACGGACGAGAAGCUUGCUUCUCUGAUGUUAGCGGCGGACGGGUGAGUAACACGUGGAUAACCUACCUAUAAGACUGGGAUAACUUCGGGAAACCGGAGCUAAUACCGGAUAAUAUUUUGAACAGCAUGGUUCAAAAGUGAACGACGGUCUUGCUGUCACUUAUAGAUGGAUCCGCGCUGCAUUAGCUAGUUGGUAAGGUAACGGCUUACCAAGGCAACGAUGCAUAGCCGACCUGAGAGGGUGAUCGGCCACACUGGAACUGAGACACGGUCCAGACUCCUACGGGAGGCAGCAGUAGGGAAUCUUCCGCAAUGGGCGGAAGCCUGACGGAGCAACGCCGCGUGAGUGAUGAAGGUCUUCGGAUCGUAAACCUCUGUUAUUAGGGAAGAACAUAUGUGUAAGUAACUGUGCACAUCUUGACGGUACCUAAUCAGAAAGCCACGGCUAACUACGUG